rnacentral:rRNA from 1 species
UCCACGCCCUAAACGAUGUCAACUAGACGUUGGGUUCAUUAAGGAACUUAGUGUCGAAGCUAACGCGUUAAGUUGACCGCCUGGGGAGUACGGCCGCAAGGUUGAAACUCAAAGGAAUUGACGGGGGCCCGCACAAGCGGUGGAGCAUGUGGUUUAAUUCGAUGCAACGCGAAGAACCUUACCAGCCCUUGACAUCCUGGGAACUUACUAGAGAUAGUUUGGUGCCUUCGGGA